GGGUUGUGAGGUUAAGCGACUAAGCGUACACGGUGGAUGCCCUGGCAGUCAGAGGCGAUGAAGGACGUGCUAAUCUGCGAAAAGCGCCGGCGAGGUGAUAUGAACCUUUGACCCGGCGAUGUCCGAAUGGGGAAACCCAGUGCAAUCCGUUGCACUAUCGUUAACUGAAUACAUAGGUUAACGAGGCGAACCGGGGGAACUGAAACAUCUAAGUACCCCGAGGAAAAGAAAUCAACCGAGAUUCCCCCAGUAGCGGCGAGCGAACGGGGAGCAGCCCGGAGUCUGAAUCAGCUUGUGUGUUAGUGGAACGGUCUGGAAAGUCCGACGGUACAGGGUGAUAGUCCCGUACACGAAAGCACACAUGCUGUGAACUCGAAGAGUAGGGCGGGACACGUGGUAUCCUGUCUGAAUAUGGGGGGACCAUCCUCCAAGGCUAAAUACUCCUGACUGACCGAUAGUGAACCAGUACCGUGAGGGAAAGGCGAAAAGAACCCCGGCGAGGGGAGUGAAAAAGAACCUGAAACCGUGUACGUACAAGCAGUGGGAGCCUCUUUAUGGGGUGACUGCGUACCUUUUGUAUAAUGGGUCAGCGACUUAUAUUCUGUAGCAAGGUUAACCGUAUAGGGGAGCCGAAGGGAAACCGAGUCUUAACUGGGCGUUAAGUUGCAGGGUAUAGACCCGAAACCCGGUGAUCUAGCCAUGGGCAGGUUGAAGGUUGGGUAACACUAACUGGAGGACCGAACCGACUAAUGUUGAAAAAUUAGCGGAUGACCUGUGGCUGGGGGUGAAAGGCCAAUCAAACCGGGAGAUAGCUGGUUCUCCCCGAAAGCUAUUUAGGUAGCGCCUCGUGAACUCAUCUUCGGGGGUAGAGCACUGUUUCGGCUAGGGGGCCAUCCCGGCUUACCAACCCGAUGCAAACUACGAAUACCGAAGAAUGUUAUCACGGGAGACACACGGCGGGUGCUAACGUCCGUCGUGAAGAGGGAAACAACCCAGACCGCCAGCUAAGGUCCCAAAGUCAUGGUUAAGUGGGAAACGAUGUGGGAAGGCACAGACAGCCAGGAUGUUGGCUUAGAAGCAGCCAUCAUUUAAAGAAAGCGUAAUAGCUCACUGGUCGAGUCGGCCUGCGCGGAAGAUGUAACGGGGCUAAACCAUGCACCGAAGCUGCGGCAGCGACGCUUAGGCGUUGUUGGGUAGGGGAGCGUUCUGUAAGCCGUUGAAGGUGUGCUGUGAGGCAUGCUGGAGGUAUCAGAAGUGCGAAUGCUGACAUAAGUAACGAUAAAGCGGGUGAAAAGCCCGCUCGCCGGAAGACCAAGGGUUCCUGUCCAACGUUAAUCGGGGCAGGGUGAGUCGACCCCUAAGGCGAGGCCGAAAGGCGUAGUCGAUGGGAAACAGGUUAAUAUUCCUGUACUUGGUGUUACUGCGAAGGGGGGACGGAGAAGGCUAUGUCAGCCGGGCGACGGUUGUCCCGGUUUAAGCAUGUAGGCGGAGGUUCCAGGUAAAUCCGGUACCUUAUUAACGCUGAGGUGUGAUGACGAGGCACUACGGUGCUGAAGUGAUAAAUGCCCUGCUUCCAGGAAAAGCCUCUAAGCAUCAGGUAACACGAAAUCGUACCCCAAACCGACACAGGUGGUCAGGUAGAGAAUACCAAGGCGCUUGAGAGAACUCGGGUGAAGGAACUAGGCAAAAUGGUGCCGUAACUUCGGGAGAAGGCACGCUGAUAUGUAGGUGAAGUCCCUGCGGACGGAGCUGAAAUCAGUCGAAGAUACCAGCUGGCUGCAACUGUUUAUUAAAAACACAGCACUGUGCAAACACGAAAGUGGACGUAUACGGUGUGACGCCUGCCCGGUGCCGGAAGGUUAAUUGAUGGGGUUAGCGGCAACGCGAAGCUCUUGAUCGAAGCCCCGGUAAACGGCGGCCGUAACUAUAACGGUCCUAAGGUAGCGAAAUUCCUUGUCGGGUAAGUUCCGACCUGCACGAAUGGCGUAAUGAUGGCCAGGCUGUCUCCACCCGAGACUCAGUGAAAUUGAACUCGCUGUGAAGAUGCAGUGUACCCGCGGCAAGACGGAAAGACCCCGUGAACCUUUACUAUAGCUUGACACUGAACACUGGUCCUUGAUGUGUAGGAUAGGUGGGAGGCUUUGAAGCGUGGACGCCAGUCUGCGUGGAGCCAACCUUGAAAUACCACCCUUUAAUGGCUGGUGUUCUAACGUAGACCCGUAAUCCGGGUUGCGGACAGUGUCUGGUGGGUAGUUUGACUGGGGCGGUCUCCUCCCAAAGAGUAACGGAGGAGCACGAAGGUUGGCUAAUCCUGGUCGGACAUCAGGAGGUUAGUGCAAUGGCAUAAGCCAGCUUGACUGCGAGCGUGACGGCGCGAGCAGGUGCGAAAGCAGGUCAUAGUGAUCCGGUGGUUCUGAAUGGAAGGGCCAUCGCUCAACGGAUAAAAGGUACUCCGGGGAUAACAGGCUGAUACCGCCCAAGAGUUCAUAUCGACGGCGGUGUUUGGCACCUCGAUGUCGGCUCAUCACAUCCUGGGGCUGAAGUAGGUCCCAAGGGUAUGGCUGUUCGCCAUUUAAAGUGGUACGCGAGCUGGGUUUAGAACGUCGUGAGACAGUUCGGUCCCUAUCUGCCGUGGGCGCUGGAGAAUUGAGGGGGGCUGCUCCUAGUACGAGAGGACCGGAGUGGACGCAUCACUGGUGUUCGGGUUGUCAUGCCAAUGGCACUGCCCGGUAGCUAAAUGCGGAAGAGAUAAGUGCUGAAAGCAUCUAAGCACGAAACUUGCCCCGAGAUGAGUUCUCCCUGAGACCUUGAGUCUCCUGAAGGAACGUUGAAGACGACGACGUUGAUAGGUCGGGUGUGUAAGCGCAGCGAUGCGUUGAGCUAACCGAUACUAAUGAACCGUGAGGCUUAACCUUACAACGCCGAAGCUGUU
rnacentral:rRNA from 2 species